rnacentral:tRNA from 2 species
GCCCGGAUAGCUCAGUUGGUAGAGCACUUCCAUGGUAAGGAAGGGGUCGCCGGUUCGAGUCCGGCUCCGGGCU